rnacentral:rRNA from 1 species
GACGAACGCUGGCGGCGUGCUUAACACAUGCAAGUCGAACGGAAAGGCCCUGCUUUUGUGGGGUGCUCGAGUGGCGAACGGGUGAGUAACACGUGAGUAACCUGCCCUUGACUUUGGGAUAACUUCAGGAAACUGGGGCUCAUACCGGAUAGGAGCUCCUGCUGCAUGUUGGGGGUUGGAAAGUUUCGGCGGUUGGGGAUGGACUCGCGGCUUAUCAGCUUGUUGGUGGGGUAGUGGCUUACCAAGGCUUUGACGGGUAGCCCGCCUGAGAGGGGGGCCGGCCACCAUGGGACUGAGGUACGGCCCAGACUGCUACGGGAGGCAAGCGGGGGGAAUAUGGCAAAAUGGGGCGGAGCCAGAGGCAAAAACCCCCGGUGCGGGAUGACGGCCUUCGGGUUGUAAACCGCUUUCGCCUGUGACGAAGCGUGAGUGACGGUAAUGGGUAAAGAAGCACCGGCUAACUACGUG